GCCGGGUUAGCUCAGCUGGUAGAGCACCUGUCUUGUAAACAGGAGGUCGUCGGUUCGAACCCGACACUCGGCU
rnacentral:tRNA from 1 species